rnacentral:rRNA from 1 species
GACGAACGCUGGCGGCGUGCUUAACACAUGCAAGUCACGGGGGCCCGCAAGGGCAACCGGCGAACGGGUGCGUAACACGUGAGCAAGCUUCCGAUUAAUGGGGGAUAGCCGGCCCAACGGCCGGGUAAUACCGCAUACGUUCUCUGGACGGCAUCGUCUGGAGAGGAAACCUCCGGGGCUAAUCGAGGCGCUCACGGCCUAUCAGCUAGUUGGCGGGGUAACGGCCCACCAAGGCGACGACGGGUAGGUGGUCUGAGAGGAUGGCCAGCCAAAUUGGGACUGCGACACGGCCCAGACUCCUACGGGAGGCAGCAGUGGGGAAUAUUGCGCAAUGGACGAAAGUCUGACGCAGCGACGCCGCGUGUGGGAUGAAGCUCUUCGGGGUGUAAACCACUGUUGCCCGGGACGAAAUGCCCUUUCGAGGGAAUUGACGGUACCGGGUGAGGAAGCACCGGCUAACUCUGUGCCAGCAGCCGCCGUAAUAC